AGGGAAUGGCAGCCCACUCCAGUAUUCUUGCCUGGAGAAUCCCAUGGACAGAGGCUCCUUGCAGGCUGCAGUCCAUGGGGUCACAGAGUGUCAGACACAAGUGAGUGACUUUCACAAGUUUAACUGGGUUCUCAAUGACCAGGACUUAUUGGGUCCCCACCACCAGUAAGUACGGUAGGUGCUUGUGCUUUGUGACUGCUGAUCAAGCAGCUUUGAGACUCUUGGUGCUUAACACCAAGAUUUUAUUUAAAAGAGAGAGGAAGGAGAGAGAGAGAAGGAAGCCUGGCUUCCUACAAACGGUGUCCCCCGACGCUCCCUUCACGCCUUGGCCUCUUUGCUCAUCUUCUCCUUCUUGCAGUGACCUCCCCCAGCCCUGUUUGUCUGCCUGACAGCACCUACUCUUGUAUUUAACUCUUUAUUUAGGAGUUUUUCCAACAGGGACCGUCAGUGAAUAGUGUCCUAAACCUCAGUCAUCAGUCACCAACUUGUGAUCAGUCUUGCCUCAUCCACAUACCUGCCUUCCCCUCCCAUCUCUCUUCAAACUGGAUCCUUAGGGAGGAAAUAACCAGGUAGCAUAUAUUAUUUGUUCUUUUGGGGUUUUUUCCUGGUCAAAAAAAAAAAAAUUUUUUUUUAACUAUGGUGAAAUUCACAUGACAUAAAAUGAACCUUUUUUUUCCCCCUCAUUUCAAAUGAGUUGGUUUAAUUUCAGGUGGUACAGAGAUCAGGAUAGAACACAGACUUAAGAGCACACUUUGGCAGGAUUCUGGACUGGGUUUACAUGCAUCUCAUAGCUGAGGUAGAAACGGCUGAGAAGAGCUAAAGAUGAACCAGUGUGUGACUUUUUUUUAAGGUUAUUCUUAAAUGUAGAAUAGGUUCCAUGACAGCACUUCCUUCUAGCUAUAGGUGGCAGCGGAUACUGUGGCAGCGAAUCCAGGCGUUUACACAGGAAUGGAACUAAGGGUCAUCGUCGCCUCAGGCACAAGGCCCAGCUUCCCUUUUGGCCAGGUUUCUCAACUCCACCGGGUUGGGGGGGGCGCUUUCCCCGGAGGCCUUCGCUUUCAGCUCCUUCCCCUCUUCCUCCUGCCUGUGCCUAAACGCCUCAUCUUCCUCCUCCAUCUCCUCCUUGCUUCUUCAACUGCUUCUUGCGCUUCCUGCCGCCUUCGCGGCCGCACGUGGCUCCCGCCACUAAAAGGAACCAGGUUACAGAGAACAGCUCGGUGGCGUUUGGCGGGCGCUGGGGCCGUCGCCGCCUCUGCCUGGCGUGACAGCAGUGUCCUCGCCCCAGAAGGAAACGCCGCACCCGACGCGCGGGUGCCCCCACGCCGCACCCGACGCGCGGGUGUCCCCCACGCCCCCCUUCCACAUGCUGCGGCCACCGCCCUGGGCUGUGUCCCUGCGAGUUUCCCCGUUCUGGGUGUUCUCUACAAAUGCAGUCAUCCAAAACGGGACCUUUCUGGCUGGCAGCUCCUUUCCCUCAGCGCGUUUUCAGCGUUCAUCCAUGCUGUGGCGUGGCUCCGCACUCCACUCCUUCCCGCGGCUGAAGCAGAUUCUGUCAUAGAGGCAGGCGUGCUUCGCUGCCUGAUGGCUGUUGGGACCGUUUCCACCGUCCAAGUGCUAUAUGUUAUAUAGACACCCUGCGGCCAUGGGCGCAGGUCCGCACGCACUGGUUUAAGUCCCUGUUUUCAGUUCUCUCGGGGUGUACGCCUACGAGAGACCUUGCCGGCUCACAUGGCAAUUCUGUGUGUGACCUUCUGGGGAUGUGAGCAGCCUGUUCCCUGUGGAGCCUGCCCUGAGUUCCCCACGCACACUCAGGGGACGCCAGCUUUGCCAGCCCCUCCGUUACAGCAGCCCCCUCACCGAAUGGCGUCUUUGCUUUACGCGUGGUUUUUGCCAUGCCGCAUGGCUUCCUCCAGUAACCGAGCCCUGGGUCAGGAAACACCUUCCUCCAUUCGUUCUCACUGCCAUUCAGGCGAAGUAAUCCCAUGAUCCUGGCUCAGGAGAUGGACCAGUAAUUCCAGGCAGGGCAAUCUGCGUGGGUCGGGAGGCUCUUGCUGGCUGAGUGGGGAAAGAGGAACUCUUCUGUUUGUUAUUGACAGGGGCCCUGUGUGCCCAGGGCCUCCAGGAACACAGCCCGAGGUCAAGAGGGAGGGAGGCAAGGCCCAGACAAGGACAAAACAGGUUCCUGUCAAACCAGUUUGACUCCUGGAUGCAGCCAUGCUUGAAGCCAGUUUCAGUUCUAGAAGCUCCCGGUUCAGGAGCCAGUGCCUGCGUGCUCACGCGCUUCAGUCGUGUCCAACUCUCUGCGACCCCAGGGACUGUAGCCCACCAGGCUCCUCUGUCCGUGGGAUUAUCCAGGCAAGAAUACUGGAGUGGGUAGCCAUGCCCUUCUCCAGGGGAUCUUCCCAACCUGGGGACCUAACCCGUGUCUCUUGCAUCUCCUGCUUGGCAGGCGGGUUCCUUACCACUAGUGCCACUGGGGAAGCUCUCAUGACCCAGUGAAUUCCCUUUCUUGCUGAAGCUUGUUUGAGUUGGGUUUUGUUGCCCGCAGCCAGGAGAUGCACGUGACGGUGGACUUGUAAGAGACUGUCCGCCAGUGCCCUCCCUUCCGGGACCACAGCACCCUGCGCUUCAGCAGUGCUGUCUGCAUGGGAGUGGCCGCAUCGUCAGAAUCGAGCGAGGGACCAGGAGGGUCAGUUCCAGUUCCUGGGCUGUGGAAGCAGCCCUGCCCCCCCAGGAGAGGCAGGCGAGGCCCCAGGCCUGCUGACUCCGGCUGACUUCUCCUCUGGCACUUCCUUCCCAACUCCUGGCUGUGGAUCCUGACACCCCCCCCACCACCACCACUUGGACAAACAUCUUGCGGCCGUUUCCUCCUCGCCUGCCCGGAGCCCCGGCCCAGCCUGAACAAACACUCGGGACCUGCGCUUCCGGCCUCAGCUCUGGGAAAAGCCCGGCCAGGGGCCGCCGAGGUCAGCCCUGGAGGGAAGUGGGAAGGGGGCCGCCAGGGCCCCCGCAUGGGGUCUGGCCUGGCCGGCCUUGGCGCUUCAUUGACCCCCAUCCGUAGAAUGGGCCUAAUCACGCCCACCUCAGAGGCCCCUAGGGAGACAAGACGUGCCCUCUGGGCCUGGCACAAGACGGGGACACUGCCCACGGGGCCGUGAAAGGCCUGGGAUGGAGGGAGGCUCCAGGGGACUCCCCCAAGGGACCACAGUGGCAGGAGGGGCCAGACUUAACUCUCCUCCUGUGGCCUCCCACUUCUUGUUCCCAUUUCCGAAAAGUGUCCCACCAGGCUGCCGUUUCAGUCCUGGUCCCCACAGACCCUCCCGGUGUGUCGCUAUCAGAGAUUAGGAGCCAGGCCCGGGGUGCGGCAGGAGUGGACAGACAACUCUUGACAACGCAAAUAGGCGAAGAUGGCUGAUUGCAGGAGCUCGGAGUGGAAACAAUGGAAUUAAUGUGUGUAAGGGUUUUGGUGUUUUUUCUUUUUUUUUUUUUCCUUUGGAGCAGUUUCUCCUCAUCUGCGGGGUUGGAUUCCCACCUCAACUUCCGGUCUUUGGAGGAGCCGGCUGGAGAGGAUGGGCGUGGGCGGGGGGCGGCGGUCAGGAAGGAGAGAGCAGGGUGGCGGGGGAGGAAGGAAGGGCUCCUUCUUGCCCCCUGGGUCUUUGCACUGGCUGUGCCCCCCCCCCACCUCAGCCCCUGCCCCUGUUGGUAGCCCCGGUGCCUCCUCCAGGAAGCCCUCCCUGACCUCCCCCACCCAGGCUAAACAAACUGGAGUCAGCACCUUCCUGCUCCCAUUCAUCGGCAUUUCAUCUUCCACUGCGGGCUGGGCCUGUUGGUUUACAGCUCUCUCCUCUGCUCAGCACUCAGGGGACAGCAGCCGCGUACAGCAUGGGAAGGGGGACCCGGUCCCUACACUGUGGUCCUCACUGUCCACUCAGGCCCCUUGAUCUGCGGUGGAGAAGGCAAAGGGCGAGUCGGGCGGGGUCGCGGAGGGGCGGUGGGGUGGGUACAGGUACAGAAGUGGGUAUGAAUGGAGUGCACAAGGGCUGAACUCCGACGACCCUGGCUGCCAAUCUCGGCAGUGAGUUCUCCCUGAGUCUCAGCUUCCUCCUCUGUAAAAUGGGGAUGACAGCCCUACCCGGCGAAACCAACUUGAACGGCCCCAGCGCCCGGCCCAGGAGGCACACUGCAGGUGCUUUAACCAGCUUAGCGAGGCGGGCAGCUGGGCUUGGUGCCCAGGCGGUCUGGUCUCUUGGCUGGGAGGGUCCGGGGCAUGGAGGGGAAAGCGGAGCCCCAGACCUGUAACUCACAUGGAUCCACUCAGCUACCAAGUAAUGCGUCUGGUUCCCCCGCAAGCCCACCUCUCCUUCUCCCGGCAUCCUCCGCCAGGGGCGGAGGGUCCUGCAAACGCAAACCUGCGGUAAAUAACGCUGAUAAUAGCAGUUACGAGCCUUUUCUGAGGCUCCUCACUCAACCUCUCCAUCCCUCCUCUAUCACGUGGGGUCAGCGCUGGGUGGGCACGUGUGGGUCCAGAGGAGCACGGCCCCUGCCUCCCAUCAAGCCUUGAGGUCCGGAGGCUUUGAGGUUCAGUAAGAACAGAGGAACAGGGCUGGAUAAUAAAAUGGGGGGCGGGGGGACCUCUGGCUGUCACGCGCAGAUACUGGCCCCCCUUCGGAGGAUACCUUACGCAUGCACGUGGUGCUGGGUUUCUCCACGUCCGUCAAAUAGUAGAGGCGGUGCGUCCGGACCCACGUGUGCGUGCGCAGCGUUUGCUGGCUCUGCCCCGGGUACCCGGGAGAAACUGAGGCACCGAGCAGGGUGGUGACUUGUUGGGGAGCUUCAGAGCUGGGGUUCCACCAGUGCUACCUUUCAGAGGGGACCUGCGGACCAGCCAGGUGAACUGAUGGGCUGCAGCCCCGCCCACCCUGGGCAGCUGUCCAUGAGAAGGCCUCUUCAGAGCCAAGGGCAGCGUGGUGCCGUCCCACCUCUGCGAGUUUCAGACAGGGCAGAGUCUGCCCCCAGUGACCAGAGAGGCCCCUCUGACUUAAUGUCUCCAGUUGAACUCUGCAUCUCCCACCAGCCUGUUGCUCUCAGCUUCUGGAAGAGGCAGCCCCAGGCUGGUGAAGCCCCCAACCUAGGAACUCCCUGCCUGGACUCUGCCUCUUCUCACCACAGACCACAUCGUCGUCCCCUAGUCCUCAGGAGUCCCUCUUCCUAAGAACCCGAAAGCCAUCUUUGGCUUCCUGCACUUGCUGUGCAGUCAGGGGGCUCUCCCUGGCCUUGCCUAGCCCUCCAGAGCCUGGAGAACCCAUCCCACCCCACACCCCUCCAGCGGAGCCCCCAGCUCACCUUCUCUGCGCCUCCAGGGGCCGCGCAUUGCCCACUCCAGCCACUGCCCUGGUCCUCGUGCUGGGAAAGCUCUCCUGUGAGCGUCCUGAAGAUCUCAGCUCAAGGGUCACUGCCCCAGGGAGGCCCUUGCUCACCCCAAGACGGGCUCAGGUGCCCCCACCCCACGAGAAAUCCUCCUGGAACCCCGUGGUAUUGCCCUUUGUCAAAGCUGUGGCUCUUCGCAGUUAUGUGAUUAUUUGCACUAUUUGAUUAAAGACCAUCUCCCCCAUGAGACAGAGACCAUGCCUGCAGGGUCCCCAUAAUAUCCCCAGGGCUUGGCAGAGUAGGUGCUUGGUCAGUGGUGCUGGAAGGAAGGAAGGGAGAACUCUGUUCUGGUGUUUCAUUCCACCCAGGAGGCGCAGGACCCUCAGAACCACACCAGGAAUCAGGCUGAGGGGUCACCUUGAGGGCCAGUGGGUCUUCCAGGCACAGGGCAGGAUGGCCUGGUCUUGUGAAGGGGGCAGGCAGUGUGGCCACGUGGACAAAGCGGGGGUCGUGGAGGCAGCUUUGGCAGAGUGUGUCUGGCGUCGCCCAGGAAGGGGUCUCCAGCGGCCAGCGUGACCAUCCCAUCUGCUCGGUUGAUGUCCUGGGGUGGGGACACAGCGGUCCAUCCAUCCUAACGUUUAUAGGCAGUGAUCACGUGUCCACCCAGGAAGACCACCCAGUCCGCUGGGGAAGACAGAUGCUCUCCUACUGUGAGGUGAGCAAUCUGAUGAGAGGAGCUUCUGAUACUGCUCCAGAAAGUCCUCUGGAAGGAAGGACUCAAGGUAGUCCUCUCAGAAAGACAGCCAUGUAGACUAGACUUUGAGGGAGGCCUGGGAGCUCAAGAGGAAAGACUUUCGGAAGGAAGCGACAUCUGGGCUGGGUGUGGAGAGACGCCUGCAAGAUGACCGAGAAAAGAAGACGCGCGUCUUCUCCGAACACUGGGUUCUCUUUAGAGACUUGUGCAGGCCACAGGGCCGGUGAGACUGGGCCCUGCUCAUCCACGCCAGCCUCGCCCACACAUGCAUGCCAAUGAGAGCAUCUCUGCCCUGUCCUAGAGCCAGGAGGACUUUCUGGUUCUCGUGUGUGCCCCGCUGGAGUGGAAGGGGUCUCAGAAUCGGUUCAGUUGCAGGCCAGGUCCAGGCACACCUGCUAAGCAGACUCCAAGGAGCCACUGAGGAAAGACCCAGCUCUGUCCCGAGCAGAGACCAAACGCCAUGGGCCAACUCUGUCGGGAAGCAGAUGCAUCAUCCCAUUUUACAGAAGAGAAAAUGAGGCUCAGAGGAGCAUGUAGUCUGGAGAUGACAAAAGGGUCUUGAGAUGAGGCCCUGGCUGCAGGGGGAGGAAGUGGCGGCAGGGGGAAGAGCUGCCUCUGUGGGCACCUGACACCCAAGCCAGCUCUGAGCUCCGUCCAGGCGGGGUGGGACAGGGCGGCCAGAAGCCAGAGCUGGAGGGAUCGGGGGAGCAGCAAUGUCUCCUCACCAUCCAUGACUUGAAUGAUCGAUAUGAGUGAUUCUUUACCACAGGUCAAGUGGCUGGCAGCUCCACAUGCUCUAGGGAAUAUCUCAUUUUGAUCCACAUGGCCUAGAAAGGCUGGGACUUUGAGAACCAUUUCACUGAAUGUUCACUGGAAGGACUGAUGUUGAAGCUGAAACUCCAAUACUUGGGCCACCUGGUGAAAAGAGCUGACUCAUUUGGAAAGACCCUGAUGUUGGGAAAGGUUGAAAGAGGGAGGAGA